GACGUAGGGCGCGAGCGUUGUCCGGAAUUAUUGGGCGUAAAGAGCUCGUAGGCGGUCUGUCGCGUCGGCUGUGAAAACCCGGAGCUCAACUCCGGGCCUGCAGUCGAUACGGGCAGACUGGAGUUCGGCAGGGGAGACUGGAAUUCCUGGUGUAGCGGUGGAAUGCGCAGAUAUCAGGAGGAACACCGGUGGCGAAGGCGGGUCUCUGGGCCGUUACUGACGCUGAGGAGCGAAAGCGUGGGGAGCGAACAGG
rnacentral:rRNA from 1 species